rnacentral:rRNA from 1 species
AUUGAACGCUGGCGGCAUGCCUUACACAUGCAAGUCGAACGGCAGCACGGGACUCGGGCAACCGAGCCCUGGUGGCGAGUGGCGAACGGGUGAGUAAUGCAUCGGAACGUACCCAGUAGUGGGGGAUAACUAGUCGAAAGAUUAGCUAAUACCGCAUACGACCUAUGGGUGAAAGCGGGGGAUUCGCAAGAACCUCGCGCUAUCGGAGCGGCCGAUGUCUGAUAGCUAGUUGGCGGGGUAAAAGCCCACCAAGGCUUCGAUCAGUAGCUGGUCUGAGAGGACGACCAGCCACACUGGGACUGAGACACGGCCCAGACUCCUACGGGAGGCAGCAGUGGGGAAUUUUGGACAAUGGGCGCAAGCCUGAUCCAGCCAUGCCGCGUGCGGGAAGAAGGCC